AGAAGGCAUCUAAGAAUGACUGAUACAGGCUGUUUCGUUCUAAGCAGCCUUCAUGCACAGAGAAACACAAGGGAAAAGAAGGAGCACAGACAACCAUUGCCCCUGACCUCACUUGUCCUUUUCCUCGUUUCUAUGUGGAAGGCUGUGGGAGGCAGAGGUAAGCUCAGAAAAACGGACCAUCAGAGACCAGCGAUCAUCUGCUCAGGACCACGUGGGGACAGAUUUAUCCCAGAAUCCACAUUCCUUCACUUAAAGUACCUACUUAAGAGAGGGCUAAAUACAUUUUUAAAAAAAUUA
rnacentral:lncRNA from 1 species